rnacentral:rRNA from 2 species
UGUGUUGUUGGGUAGGGGAGCGUUCUGUAAGCCUGUGAAGGUGUGUCGUGAGGCAUGCUGGAGGUAUCAGAAGUGCGAAUGCUGACAUAAGUAACGAUAAAGCGGGUGAAAAGCCCGCUCGCCGGAAGACCAAGGGUUCCUGUCCAACGUUAAUCGGGGCAGGGUGAGUCGACCCCUAAGGCGAGGCCGAAAGGCGUAGUCGAUGGGAAACGGGUUAAUAUUCCCGUACUUGGUGUUACUGCGAAGGGGGGACGGAGAAGGCUAUGUUGGCCGGGCGACGGUUGUCCCGGUUUAAGCGUGUAGGUGUGUGUUCCAGGUAAAUCCGGUUCACUUUAACACUGAGGCGUGACGACGAGGCACUACGGUGCUGAAGCAACAAAUGCCCUGCUUCCAGGAAAAGCCUCUAAGCAUCAGGUAACAUCAAAUCGUACCCCAAACCGACACAGGUGGUCAGGUAGAGAAUACCAAGGCGCUUGAGAGAACUCGGGUGAAGGAACUAGGCAAAAUGGUGCCGUAACUUCGGGAGAAGGCACGCUGACACGUAGGUGAAGUGAUUUACUCAUGGAGCUGAAGUCAGUCGAAGAUACCAGCUGGCUGCAACUGUUUAUUAAAAACACAGCACUGUGCAAACACGAAAGUGGACGUAUACGGUGUGACGCCUGCCCGGUGCCGGAAGGUUAAUUGAUGGGGUCAGCGCAAGCGAAGCUCCUGAUCGAAGCCCCGGUAAACGGCGGCCGUAACUAUAACGGUCCUAAGGUAGCGAAAUUCCUUGUCGGGUAAGUUCCGACCUGCACGAAUGGCGUAAUGAUGGCCAGGCUGUCUCCACCCGAGACUCAGUGAAAUUGAACUCGCUGUGAAGAUGCAGUGUACCCGCGGCAAGACGGAAAGACCCCGUGAACCUUUACUAUAGCUUGACACUGAACAUUGAGCCUUGAUGUGUAGGAUAGGUGGGAGGCUUUGAAGUGUGGACGCCAGUCUGCAUGGAGCCGACCUUGAAAUACCACCCUUUAAUGUUUGAUGUUCUAACGUGGACCCGUUACCCGGGUUGCGGACAGUGUCUGGUGGGUAGUUUGACUGGGGCGGUCUCCUCCUAAAGAGUAACGGAGGAGCACGAAGGUUGGCUAAUCCUGGUCGGACAUCAGGAGGUUAGUGCAAUGGCAUAAGCCAGCUUGACUGCGAGCGUGACGGCGCGAGCAGGUGCGAAAGCAGGUCAUAGUGAUCCGGUGGUUCUGAAUGGAAGGGCCAUCGCUCAACGGAUAAAAGGUACUCCGGGGAUAACAGGCUGAUACCGCCCAAGAGUUCAUAUCGACGGCGGUGUUUGGCACCUCGAUGUCGGCUCAUCACAUCCUGGGGCUGAAGUAGGUCCCAAGGGUAUGGCUGUUCGCCAUUUAAAGUGGUACGCGAGCUGGGUUUAGAACGUCGUGAGACAGUUCGGUCCCUAUCUGCCGUGGGCGCUGGAGAACUGAGGGGGGCUGCUCCUAGUACGAGAGGACCGGAGUGGACGCAUCACUGGUGUUCGGGUUGUCAUGCCAAUGGCACUGCCCGGUAGCUAAAUGCGGAAGAGAUAAGUGCUGAAAGCAUCUAAGCACGAAACUUGCCCCGAG